UUUCAAAAAUACUUUAUACAGAUGUGAAAACACAGAAAUUCUAACCCUAUCCAAAUUUUUAUGAUGGACGAAAGUUUCAGAGGCAGUGUGUAAACAUGAUUGACAAAACGUGAGGUCGUAUUUAUUUUUAGGUUUUAAAAAUGAAGAAGUGUGAUCAGUGAAAGAGUACAUGGUGAUUGGGUCAGUCUUUGAUCAAUGGACUGCUGAAGUGAUAAGCUUGAGAGAUCAUAAAGCAAUUCCUGAGCUGAGCAGAGGUUGUGUGGAAAGGAGUUUUUCCGCAAAAGGAUACAAUUUCUUGUGUUUUAUACAUACAGCCUGCCAUAUUCAGUUUAUUCCAUAAUUUAGUUAUACAUUAAUAGUAAGGUAAGAAUAGAAUAAAAAAAUAGUUUAUUAAUCCAUACACUGUUGAUAUAUGAUGUUGUUGCAUGAGGGGGAAAUAACAUUCAAACUCCAGCAACAUUUGUGGCAUGAUAUCAAUCACCACAGAAAUAACGGUCAACUCAUUCUUUAGUUAAAGCAGUAAACAUUAAAUCAUGCUCUAUUUCAGUAGUAUUCUCACAAGCUUCAAUAUUAUAUAUGUAAACAUUACUUGCUGAUUUUGUCUACAUAAACUUACAUUCAGUGUUUAUUUGUUUGUAUUUCUUUCUUUCAGUCUUCAGUCAGUUGGUAAACCUAGUAUUUUUUGUAAGAUGCACAUGACAUGGAUAUCAGAAGGUGGUGUGUCAAUCUAUAUCAAAUUAUUUUUUGUUCAAUAUUGUGCCACAAACAUAAUAAAUAGAGUUGAACAUCUACUGAACACGGAACAUCUCUUUAAAUAUGAUUAACAAUUAACUUGAACUACUUUUUUAUCUGAAGCACCAUAAAUCAAGUACAAAAGACAGUAAAUCAGGACACUAAAAAGAGCAUGAGGGUCUGUGGGAUGACAGAGCAAGAGCUGGACACGAACAUCAGUGAAGAAUGAAUGCUGCUGCUGGAAACCUUUGUGUUUGUGGUACAGCAGCAGGUAGAUGAGAAUGAGAUCAGUCAACAGCUCAGCAAUGAGGACAGAAGACAGAAUCCACCUCAGACAGACUCUCUGAGAGAUGAAGCUUUGACUGACAGCCAACAAUACUGCCAUCUGAGCUUCCUGACAUCCACGCAGCACUGAGAGCUGACCGCCACCGUUACAGAGCAGAAAGCCAACAUCAGAGCCUUAGAGACGCGACUGAGGGACGCAGAGAAAACUGCAGAACAACAGACGGAAGAGCUGAACAAGAAAAAUGAUGCCUUAGAGACGCGACUGAGGGACGCAGAGAAAACUGCAGAACAACAGACGGUCAUCCUAGAAGAGCUGAACAAGAAAACUGAUGAAAUGUCAAAUCUUACUGAGAGUCGAGUGGAGGAGCUGAGAAAGGAAAACAGAGACAGAGAGAGCUUUUUCAGCUUCACUGAUGGAGUCUGGCAGUGGAUAUAUCGGUCCUUUCACCACUGAAAUCACAAACCUACAGGAACGUCUUCACAAACAUAGGGAACGCCUACAACCCAAUUACAGAUAAUUAUCAAUGACAAAACUCAGUUAUAGUAACGAGAAUCCUUCUGCUCCAUUCAAACCUCUCUGCAGUGAAUAAUAGAAUCAAAUGAUCUGUUGUUUCAAAACUAUUACACUGUGCACAGCUGAUUCUCCUCUUCAUCUCUUGUUAUUUGCUUCAGGUAUUUUCACAGCUCCACUGAAAGGAUCGUAUAUGUUCACCUUCUCUGUCUGUGGUCCUGGUAAUCCCUCAAAUCCAUCAACUGACUCUAUUGUGAAGAACGGAGAGAAGGUGGUUGUAGCACAUGGUCAUCAGGAUCAGUACGCUGUAAACUCCUCAAAAGGAGUUGUGUUGAUCCUGGAGGUUGGAGAUAUUAUCUAUGUGAGAUUUUGGUCUAAUAGAAGGAUAUUUGAUGACCAGAAUAACCACAACACUUUCAGUGGUUACCUACUGUUUCCCUUAAGAUAACAGGAGCUUUGCAGAAUGUGAUUCCAGUAAAACUGAACCUUUAGCAUAUAAUUUAAGAUGAAAAUCACGAAGAAUCAGUUUACCAGGGGUGCAAACUCAUCAGGGGUGAAAAAGGUGACAAACUAAACUACCACCCAGCCUCCCACCCCCCGCAACCCACACACACACAGGGUUAAUAGGAAAGUAUUUUCUGUGGCCAUGAAAAUAUCCUUUCUUAGAGUUGAUAUGAACUUACACUGAAUGGUCGCUGGACGAACAGAUCAGUUGAUGGCAAUUUAAUUCUGCUACAGUUAUUACUGUCAGCCGAUAUAAAUAAUUGUAAUUAAUCAUAAUUAAUUGUAAUUAUUUAUAAACAAUUCCCUUUUGAGUUGAUUUGCUACACAGUUCACCAUCAACAGUUAUUAGUCAAAUAAGUCGAGGCAGAAACGGACACCGGAGAACAGUAAGCUCUUUAAUAUACAAAAACAAUAGUCAUCUAUACGACACACUUCAAACUCUUCAGAUUGCUGUCAUUUUCUAGUGCUGCUUAAUAUGUUAUACUUUUAUAAAGUUAACUUUUUUUAACAUCAGGAGAGCUGAUAUUAGAGACCUGAGACAUCAUCCAUCUUUGUAUGGAUAGUUUACCCCCAAAAUGUUUUGAUCAUUGACAUAAAUGACAUUUUCAUUUUGAGUGAACUAUCACUUUAAUAUUGCAAUUAUUUCUCUAAAAUGAGCACGGGAAAUGAACAUGCAUAGGGAAAAAUGUCAAGCAUAAAUAUCAUAACAACAUUAAACUAGAAAUUAAUUGAGUAACACUUUAUAAUAACUUUUAUUAAUAAAUCAUUAACAAACAUUAUGUAAUGCUUAACGGAUCAUUAGUUCAUAUAUAUUCACAUAUCUACAAAUGUCAUUUAACUUCUAGUUCAUAUGAUCAUGCACAUCUUGAAAAUCUUCAAAUGAUUUUAACAGAUGUUAUACAAUGAUUAAAAGCUUUUGUUAAAGCACAACACUU